rnacentral:lncRNA from 1 species
AUCGCUACCCCAUCCCUACCCCCACUCCACCCCCUAACCCCGACCUCUAAUAGCAUUAUUGUUUUUAGAUGGAAAUUAACCCCCUUGCGAAUGUCAGUUACAUGCCCACAUAUAAAUCAUAGAAUAUGCUCAUACACCACACACACAGAGGCAAAGAAUGGAAUGCAAGGAGGCUGGGAGAGAAGCAUCAGCCUUGAACAGCCAAUAUAACACACCCCCCCCCCCCCCCCCCCGGCUCCAAGUUUGUUCCACGCAGUUCCACAUUGCUGUGUUAAAUCUCAAAUGAUUCCAAUUAAAGUUGCACUAUGUAAAAACCCGAUUCUCCUGGCCUGAGUAGCUGCCGUUCUGUGGCGUGUGAAGUGCUAGGAAGAGCUGUGAUAUGCCCGUUGUUAAGCAACAUGUCAAGAUUUUUCAAUUAUAAUGCAGGGUUUAUUGCUACUCACCAUUGUGCCUUUGCUGUCCUGGAGACUCAAGUGUCUUAAAAUCCCGUCUCCCCAACAGAUGCUGGAAGGUAAUGUGUCUUGUUUGAAGUCAUCAUGUGAGAAGUUCGGCUUUGCUCAGUGGAUCGCCCACCACUUGGUGUGACUUAUGAAUCUAAUAACCCUUUGCAAUAUCCGCAAGCUUAAACUCUCAACCACCUUGGCGACUACAGAAGACAAAGCAACUGGCAUCGAUGUUGAAAAACCUAUAGAUUUACGCAAACGCCCUCACUCCGAGAGACACGUUUCCUUUUGAGUUCUUACGUGAUUCUAAUGAAUGAGCGAGGUUACCAAUGACUGCCCAACUGCCCUGCUAUAUAGCGGGUGGUUCCUGGGGCUGCCUCCCAAACGCCCGUCCCUGGGUCCUGGCACAGAAAGUUCCCGGGGAAGUGAGGAGUUUCAGGGUACCCUCAUAAAAAUAACCCAGCCUGCUCACGGCUCCCUUGCCCACUGCUCAUGUCACACCUGGGGCUCUGGCAAAGCUGAGCUCGGCUCGGGAGAUUUUCCCGUCGCCAGGGAAGACUUGCUUCCUAGCCUCAGACAACAUGGAAACGUAGAUUGGAAUGUAAGGUGAGAUGGAAAAGGAGCACUGUACACCAAUUGUCCUAGGUUCUUGGAAAGCUUAGACCACAUCUGGAGCCUCCAGUCCUCUACCUCCAUCGUAGAAGGUAGCAGAUGCAUCCUAGAAGAAGCCUGGACAGAACAGAGGCCAACUCAUUUCUAAGAUGCAGGUUAUUCUUGAAAUCCAAGAGCUGCAAAACAAAGAUGGGGUAUACACUGUAAAUUAGGGGGGCGCCUAUGUGAUGACUCACAGUCCCAGAAGAGGUCUGAGUUUGCAAAUCUCUGAGGAGAUGUUCCCAAAGUCUUGACAGAUCUAUGUUAAAGCAGAAACAAGGACAUCAUAUUCUCCAAUAUCACUGUGAUUCAAAUAUGAAUAGUGACCUGAAUGCCAGAAAUGUUAGCCAAGAAAUGGGAAAAGGAAUGAGCAGACCAGAGAUUUGGGUCUGCUGAGAAGACCGUGAACCCAAUGACUUGGAACAAGGACAAUUGUGGAAAGCCUGAAAUUCCAAGAGAAAAGGAGGAAUCUCUGGCCUCCACACUGGGCCUUUCUUGGUAUCCCCUGCUCCGUUUCCUGCCUUCUGUGUGGCAGGAUCUAAGUCUUGGAAUCAUCUGAUGUGUUGAGGAAAGGAGAGCAUUGGGAAGAACUUCCAUCCUGACUCUGUUACUAAUUGUACUGUCUGACCUUGGCACAUCAUUUUCCCUCUCUGGAUCUCAGUUUUUCCACUUAGAUAUGGCAUUAGAGUUGACAUUUGUUACAGGCUGAAUUGUAUCCCCCCCAAAUUCAUAUGUUGAAGUCUGACUCUCUCAAACUGUAACUGUGUCUGGAGAUGGGAUCUUUAAACAGGUGAUUCAGUUAAAAUAAGGAUGUUAGCAUGGG